rnacentral:tRNA from 1 species
GGAAAUAGCUCAAUUGGUAGAGCUACGGUCUCCAAAACCGUGUGUUGGGGGUUCGAGUCCCUCUUUCCC